rnacentral:rRNA from 1 species
AUACGGAGGAUCCGAGCGUUAUCCGGAUUUAUUGGGUUUAAAGGGUGCGCAGGCGGCCAUUUAAGUCAGCGGUUAAAUCGUGGGGCUCAACCCCAUUCUGCCGUUGAUACUGGGUGGCUUGAUUGCGGUCGAGGUUGGCGGAAUUCGUUGUGUAGCGGUGAAAUGCAUAGAUAUGACGAAGGACACCGAUUGCGUAGGCAGCUGACCAGACCGCAAAUGACGCUCAUGCACGAAAGUGCGGGGAUCGAACAGGAUUAGAUACCCUGGUAGUCCGCACAGUAAACGAUGAAUACUUGUUUUCGGCGAUAUAAUGUCGGAGGCAAAGCGAAAGCGAUAAGUAUUCCACCUGGGGAGUACGCCGGCAACGGUGAAACUCAAAGGAAUUGACGGGG